rnacentral:rRNA from 1 species
UACGGAAGGCAGCAGUGGGGAAUAUUGCACAAUGGGCGCAAGCCUGAUGCAGCCAUGCCGCGUGUAUGAAGAAGGCCUUCGGGUUGUAAAGUACUUUCAGUCGUGAGGAAGGUGUUAAGGUUAAUAACCUUAGCAAUUGACGUUAGCGACAGAAGAAGCACCGGCUAACUCCGUGCCAGCAGCCGCGGUAAUACGGAGGGUGCGAGCGUUAAUCGGAAUUACUGGGCGUAAAGGGCACGCAGGCGGUUAAUUAAGUUGGAUGUGAAAUCCCCGGGCUUAACCUGGGAAUGGCAUUCAAGACUGGUUAGCUAGAGUCUUGUAGAGGGGGUUAGAAUUCCAUGUGUAGCGGUGAAAUGCGUAGAGAUGUGGAGGAAUACCGGUGGCGAAGGCGGCCCCUGGACAAAGACUGACGCUCAUGUGCGAAAGCGUGGGGAGCAAACAGGAUUAGAUA